AAACAUAGCUAAUUGGUUAAGCAGCUGUUCAAUUUACUUCGAUAAUAAUUAGAAGGAUGAAUUUCUUUUCUUUCUUUCUCCUUUCAUUUGAAUCGAGGUCAUGUUUAUUUCGCGUUAACGGCCGACUAACCGAAAUCAAGGCUAUCUCUGUUCAAGCUUCGGCGCUCUCGUCCAGCACACGAGCUAUGUUAUGAUAACAUAGCUUUUGGAAAAUGUUUGGGUGACCGCGGCCCGAUGCCCUUUCGAACAGAAAUUUUGGCAGGCUGCGAUCAGUUACGGACGAGUUGUCGACGCAGCAAUAUGGGGGAAUUUUUCGACAACGAUAGUCGUAGCAGUUUUGACGAGAUUUUCGAACGUUGCUUAGCCGUAGGCUUAGGGACGGCAGGUCCCGAGGCCUUGUCGCCGGAAGCGCCGCAAACUGUGGACGAGGCCCAGAUAAGGGCGCGGAUGCGCUUACGGGGGCGUUCUACGACCGCCGAGGAGGUCGGCUACCGGGAAGUGGUGCAAAAAGUCCAGAAGAUGAAUCGAGAAGCCGAGGCCGAGGCCGAGGCCGAGACUCAAGAGCAACCGGACAGCACGGGAGGGAUCUACACCGAGAUGAUCCAUAUUGACCCCCACGGAACGUAGAAAUAGUCACAUAAGAUUAGUUAGAAUCUAUGGGAAUGAAUUCACGAAGGAAUAAAUUACUGGAGGAACUAGAUAAUUUGGGACGAGAAAUUGUUCCGAUACCGGCUACGAUGCGAGCGAUCCUAGUAGAGACAGCGAAAAGUAAAUGUCCAUCAUCGCACAACCAGAGAAAAUAGUAAAAGAAAGAGUUCGAGUUUUCCUUAAUUUUUAAUAUUAAUAUUAUUAUUAUUACUAUUAUUAUUAUUAUUAUUAUUCAGUUUAUAAUCGAUCUUCGCUCAAUUAAUUCGGCAAAUAUAUAAAAUAGUCGCAUG